UCAUUAAGAACUAAUAAUUAAAUAUGUGUGUACAUGCAGGUAUGUUUUUCCUAGUUGUUACAGCUAGUUGUUCAAAUAUGAAAUUGAAGGGAUUAUUUACAAUUACUAUAUUGGUCAGCGCUGCAAAUCAUUUCAUUUUAUCAGUUAACAUCAGCAUCAAAGACAUUUAAUAACAUUUCAGCUUUACUCAUUUUCUGUUUGCGAUCCAAUGUGGAUUCUGUUCACCAUAUAAGACAAGUAUUUAUAUUCAAUAUGAAAGAUCCCCAUGUGGAUCAUACGGGCGGUCGUCAGACUCUUUGUAUAUGACAAAAUCUCACUGGAUUAUUACAAUUAAUGGCAAAAUGAAUGUUUGGAAAUGUAAAAUGAAAUUUCUUACUGACACACUACAGCAAAAGAUGUAGUAACUGGCUUAAAAGUUUUUUUUCAGUGUGAAAAUGCCAACAUGCCUAAAAAUUCUGCACAGUUCAUAUUUUAUUUGGUAGUAUUAUAAAAUAAUAUCUUAUUUUUUUCUUAUUCAGUGUGUGAAGUGACAACCAUAUAUCAGCUUUCCGUGGAAAUCCUUUCUAAAAUCCUAAUGGAAGUUAUUUUGUCAAUGGGUGACUCUGCAUACAUGACACUUUCUUUGGUAUGCAGAUGCUUUCGGGAUGUGGUCAAUCGAGACGUUUUUCGGAAAGCAGCACACUUUGCCUGGCUAGACAGUGUGGUCAACUGGCAGAGCUUCACUCCCCGCUACCAGAGAGAGUUUAGAAGGAUGUAUAGCAUCAGUGAAUGCUUGGAGUGCAGAGUCCUUUUUAAGUCGUACCCACCGGGGUAUAGGGGAAGAGGCCGACGUGGGGAACUGCAGGGCUUUUACUCUGAUGCGUGCACAGGAUUUUGCACCCAGGACUGUUUUUUUGCAGCAGGAAACACAUUGGUGUGAAGGGAAAGGAUAAUUGGUCUGAACAUCUUGUUUGGAUUUAUAUAUUGAUGUACAAAUUAAUAGUUUAACGUUGAACUUUGCAUGUGUUUUAAUAAAAAAACAUGCAUCAUAA